rnacentral:misc_RNA from 1 species
AACGAGUUGGCAACGUGAUUCUUUCUCUUUAAUUUCUAUUUGAAACCAUGUGUGUUGUUUGUAUUCAUCGUGGUAUUUAAUUUGUUUUCCUUAAUGAAAAGUUUUAAUUUAUAAAGUUAUUGGAAAGUAAUUAUGAAUUUUGAAGUUUCGGAGGAUGAAAACCUGGUAAUUGGACAUUACGCGAAAACAUUAAAUCCGGAUGAAAUUGAAAAAUUAAAUAAGGACGUCACAAUUUCUAAAUUUCAUCAAAAUAAGUUGGAAAAUGAAGCCAAAAAGAAUUGGGAUUUAUUUUAUAAAAGAAACGAGGGACGAUUCUUUAAGGAUAGACAUUGGACUAAAAAUGAAUUCGAAGAAUUUACAAAAGAAUUCGAUUUUUCCAAGAUAUCUCCUACACCAACAAUGCUGGAAAUAGGAUGUGGAGUAGGAAAUUUCAUUUUUCCAUUAAUUGAAGAAAAAGUUCCUUAUUUUAUUUAUGCAUGUGAUUUUUCAUCAAGGGCGAUAGAAUUAGUAAAGAAGCAUCCUCUUUAUGAAGAUGAUGUGUGUCAUGCUUUUGUCUGUGAUAUAACUGAAGAUAAUUUAAAAGAUACUAUAACUGAAAACUCUGUAGAUAUAGUUUCAAUGAUUUUUGUAUUAUCAGCAAUUCAUCCAGAUAAGAUGCCUAAUGCAUUGAAAAAUAUAUAUCAGAUUUUAAAGCCUGGAGGAAUUGUGAUUUUCAGAGAUUACGGAUUAUAUGAUGCAGCUAUGUUCAGAUUUAAUCCUGCUCGCAAACUAGCGAAAUAUUUUUAUGUUCGACAAGAUGGUACACGAGCAUAUUAUUUUUCAGAAGGACCAACCAAAGAUUCUAGAGUAUGCUUCCAAUGACAAUGCAGGUAUACUGCUGUGACACAUCGUUGACACCUGCACCACCAUUCUCAAGAGACUGAAACCCUCAAAAGAGCAACAUUCAUGACAUCUUCAUAAGUGUAGGGUAUUUUGAACAUUUCCAAUGAAGGAAGCUACAUAAUUGAGAGUUAUAUAAGAAAUAUCUAGCAAAAUUGUUUGAAGCUGCAAAUUUUGAAGUAAUAUAUAACAAAUACGUAAAAAAGGAGACUGUAAAUAAAAAAGAAAAUAUUUCGUUGUCACGAAUUUUCAUACAAGGCAAAUUUCGCA